rnacentral:rRNA from 1 species
UACGAAGGGUGCAAGCGUUAGUCGGAAUUACUGGGCGUAAAGCGUGCGUAGGCGGUCUCUUAAGUCCGUUGUGAAAGCCCUGGGCUCAACCUGGGAACUGCAGUGGAUACUGAGAAGCUAGAGUGUGUCAGAGGAUGGUGGAAUUCCCGGUGUAGCGGUGAAAUGCGUAGAGAUCGGGAGGAACAUCAGUGGCGAAGGCAGCCCCCUGGGUCAAGAUUGACGCUCAUGCACGAAGCGUGGGACAACGAAGGA